rnacentral:misc_RNA from 1 species
AUGUGCCGGCCGCACUCG